rnacentral:rRNA from 1 species
GACGAACGCUGGCGGCGUGCUUAACACAUGCAAGUCGAACGGAAAGGCCCUGCUUUUGUGGGGUGCUCGAGUGGCGAACGGGUGAGUAACACGUGAGUAACCUGCCCUUGACUUUGGGAUAACUUCAGGAAACUGGGGCUAAUACCGGAUAGGAGCUCCUGCUGCAUGGUGGGGGUUGGAAAGUUUCGGCGGUUGGGGAUGGACUCGCGGCUUAUCAGCUUGUUGGUGGGGUAGUGGCUUACCAAGGCUUUGACGGGUAGCCGGCCUGAGAGGGUGACCGGCGACAUUGGGACUGAGAUACGGCGCAGACGCCUACGGGAGGCAGCAGUGGGGAGUAUUGCACAAUGGGCGGAAGCGUGAGGCAGCAACGCCGCGUGCGGGAUGACGGCCUUCGGGUGGUAAACCGCAGUCGCCUGUGACGAAGCGGGAGUGACGGUAAUGGGUAAAGAAGCACCGGCUAACUACGUG